rnacentral:misc_RNA from 1 species
UCCCGCCUUUUUUUGGUCAACCUCAUCGCUGCGUCCUUUCUCCUUUCGCACGUGCGUUGCCUUGCUUCAAAUCCAGCUUGCUUGUGGAUCUCCUCUGGCGUAUUUUUUUUUUUCCGCUGCGAGAGGCAACAGGAGGGCCAUACGACUGCAACAUGUUUCGGCGCCUUUCCUCUGCUGCAGCGACACGGCCGAUGGCGACCAUGGAGCAUCCGUUGACCUCUGCGAUGCAGUCCCAGUCGGUGAUAAACACGCGCGCUGCAGUCUCACGUGUCGCGAUGCGCGCUUGCAGCAUCACCAGCGGCACCUCAUCAGGCGACGUCUCUGCUACAAAGGGUGCCGCCUUUAGCGCGAGUCGAUCCGGCCAGCGCGCGCCGUCGAUCAACUGCGUGACACUCGUUGGCGUGGUGCAUGACAUCCAAACCGGCUACGUCUUCGAAGACGCUGUCACCCAAUUCACGCUCACCACGACAAGCCUGGACGCGGCGAACCAAGCCCAAGAGUGCGUGGUGGAGAAGGACCAUCACACUGUGCGCUGCUAUGGCGAUGUCUUUUCCCGAGAGGUCCGCGCUAAACUGAGCGAGGGAAAUGUGGUUUGCGUGAAUGGCCGUCUGCGCUUGAAUCCGCAAAUGGAGCCGUCGUGCAACAAGUACUACUACUUCCCCUACAUCCAAGUUCAACCGCCGCACGGCCAGGUAAGCGUCGUGUACGGAGACCGUCGCUCCCCUCCGUCGCCGGUGAACGCGGCGACGGGUGAGCUGAACAAUGGCAACGACAAUCCCACAAGCAGCGCAGCACCGGCCGAGGACGGCGAUGCUAGCGCGACGACGCAGAAGACGCCGUAAGAGCGCCGGAUCGAGAAUGCGGUUCCGACUCGCCUCUGCUCCUCGGCGCGCCUCCUCCCCUCUUCUCCCGUUAUCGCACCACUUAAGGGCGAGGCAGAGAAGAGGGGGCAGGAUCGAGUGCAGGCGGAUCAUUUGCGGCGGGAACUCUUCUUUCGUUCCUUGAGGCGAGCAGGUGCUCAACCGACAGAGCGUCAGUGCGAGCGUACGCUGUUGCUGUGCAGGCGACGCUCUUGCCUGCUGAUGUGUUUCUCUUCCUUGAAAUGUUGACGUGCGCACUCUGAGUAAGCGCGAGGCUGCUGGAUUUGAUCCGCAGGCGUGGGGACUGGCGCAAUGGCUUUGAUUGCGGUGGCGUGCAAUAGAACUCUCUCUCGCACUUCCUGUGGUAUUGGACAUCUUUCGCUGCUCUCUCCCCCAAUGCACAUGCAGGAAAGCGAACACAGGCAUGCUGUGCGAUGACACCGACCUGGGUAGAUUCCUGACUCUUCCACUUACCCACCCAAUCCAUUUCGUGCGCAUCGGUAUUUACACUGCAAUAACUCUC